rnacentral:lncRNA from 1 species
AAGGUGUUUAUUAUAGCAUUAUUAUAAUAAAUGCUCAAAUGACCUAAAUAUCCCAUUGUAAAAGAUUACGACAUAUUCAGGUGGCAAACUGCUAUUAAGCCAUUGAUAAAUGUUAAUUUUACUGAAACAGAAAACGAUUAUGCAUAGCAAAACCUUGUGUGGGCUUUUCAUCAUUUGCACUCCUCCACGAUUCUUUGCCCUUCUCUGUGUUCUGAGAGGCUAACCCUGCACCUGGGCUCCCAUCAAGGCUGGCUUCCAGCUAGGUUCUGCCAAUAAGAAGACCAAUAGGAGACUAAAAUGAGAGGAGGGAAAGAGAGUUGGAGGUCAGGUUAUUUCUUUCCAGUCUUGCCCUGUGGCUGUGGCAGUCGUUGCAUCCCUCCUAGACUACAGUUCCCGGUGUGAAGCUCCUCCUCCAGUAUUCCAGCUUUCACUGGGCUUCAGUGACAUUAUUUUUUGCCAGAUCCUCUUAGACUAGGGAGGUAAUAGGCUGCCAUCUCAGUUUCCUCAUGACCCCAACCCCCCUGCUGGCUCUGGCAGCCCUAUCCACACUUCAGCAAAUCAUCCCUUCAUUGAGGUCUUCUCAAUUGAACCGUCUGAUUGGAAUUCUGUUGCUGACAGAGACCCUAACUGAGAGGCGGGGAAUAGGGGUAGACCCUUAUCCUGUCUGACUGGCACCCUUAUAACAGGAUAUCUGAACACACAAGAGAGACCAGGGAUAUUCACACACAGAGGAAAGACCGUGUGAGAACAUGGUGAGAAGGCAGCCAUCUGCAAGCCAAAGAGAGAGGCCUCAGGAGAAACCAAUGCUGCCAACGCCUUGACCUUGGCCUUCCAGCCUCCAGAACUGUGAGAAAAUAAAUUUCUGUUGCGUAAGCCCCCCAGUCUGUAGUAUUUUGUUACGGCAACCCACACUGACUAAUACAUAAACCAUCAAGUAAAAGGAGUGAUCUGGAAGCAAGGCCCUAAUACUAGGUUGAAGUUGACAACAACAAGAGCUGGUGUAGAACAGACAGCAAGGAAUGAAGUCAAGAUACAGGAGAAAAGACUCUGGUUGCAGAGUCAAAC